rnacentral:rRNA from 1 species
UACGUAGGGUGCGAGCGUUGUCCGGAAUUAUUGGGCGUAAAGGGCUCGUAGGCGGUUUGUCGCGUCGGGAGUGAAAACCAGGUGCUUAACACCUGGCUUGCUUUCGAUACGGGCAGACUAGAGGUAUGCAGGGGAGAACGGAAUUCCUGGUGUAGCGGUGAAAUGCGCAGAUAUCAGGAGGAACACCGGUGGCGAAGGCGGGUCUCUGGGCCGUAACUGACGCUGAGGAGCGAAAGCGUGGGGAGCGAACAGG